UUAACACUAAAAAAUAUUCUGUGUAAGUGUGCAAAAUAAAAGUGGAUGGAAGAAAAGAUAAUACACAGAUGAAAUAUGAGUUUGGUGGCAGGUAGGAGGAAAAGCACUGAUUUUAAAAGUAAAGUGCAGAUAAAUCAUAUCUAAUCUCUGACGGUGCUACUGUGCAUGCUGCCAUGCUGGUGGCGAGUUUAUGGUACAGUUAGAUUUCAUCAACAUUUUUGCUAAUAAGAGAUUUAUAGUCUCCUCCUCUCUUGUUAUUUAGCUAAGUCCUUUUUCUCUCAACACAAUCGUAUGUUAUUGAGUAUGCUGUUAGGUGUGCCUGGCUCUGCAUGUUUCCUCUCUCCCUGCUCUCUCUGAUCUCCCUCCUCCCCCUACCUGUGUGACUUCAGCACACCUGUGUGCUGUUAGCACUCAGGGUGGAGGAGGGGGAGUAUUAGAACGGCAGGGGAGAGGAACAUGCAGAGCAGAGAGAGCAGAGCUGGGCCAGGCACCCGUGACUCUCAUGGAGAAGCGCGUGAGGAGAGUGAAGUGAUGCUGCUGUAAAGAGGCCUCCAUGGUUGCUAGGCAGCAGCAGAGGAGUGAAUCACUGCUGUACUGUUGUUGCUUUUAUGGUGAAUCUGAGUUGACAAGAAGAAAAGACUUCCAGUUAGUAACUGGAAACAGAUCAUCUUUACUCACACAUCUAAAAACUACUGUCAAACGAUAGGCAAAAAACCCCAAAGGCUUUCUCAUCAUGGGAAAUUAUUCAAGGAAACCUCAUUUUUAACAGGUUGAGGCUCAAAACUGGACACACAUUUUU